rnacentral:rRNA from 1 species
GAUGAACGCUGGCGGCGUGCCUAACACAUGCAAGUCGAGCGCGACUGAUUUGAUGCUUGCAUCAUUGAAAGUUGAGCGGCGGACGGGUGAGUAACGCGUGGGUAACCUGCCCUAUACACAUGGAUAACAUACUGAAAAGUUUACUAAUACAUGAUAAUGUAUAUUUACGGCAUCGUAGAUAUAUCAAAGUGUUAGCGGUAUAGGAUGGACCCGCGUCUGAUUAGCUAGUUGGUGAGAUAACUGCCCACCAAGGCGACGAUCAGUAGCCGACCUGAGAGGGUGAUCGGCCACAUUGGAACUGAGACACGGUCCAA